rnacentral:rRNA from 1 species
UACGUAGGUGGCAAGCGUUUGUCCGGAUUUACUGGGCGUAAAGAGCGCGCAGGCGGUCGUACAAGUCGCGUGUGAAAGCCCCCGGCUCAACUGGGGAGGGUCACGCGAAACUGGUCGACUCGAAGGCAGGAGAGGGUAGUGGAAUUCCCGGUGUAGUGGUGAAAUGCGUAGAUAUCGGGAGGAACACCAGUGGCGAAGGCGACUACCUGGCCUGUUCUUGACGCUGAGGCGCGAAAGCUAGGGGAGCAAACGGG